GACGAACGCUGGCGGCGUGCUUAACACAUGCAAGUCGAACGGAGUGGCGAACGGGUGCGUAACACGCUGGUGAUUUGCCUUGCACUUCGGGAUAAGCUUGGGAAAAUGGGUCUAAUACCGGAUCGUGCAAGAUGAGCUCCCGGCCUAUCAGCUUGUUGGUGGGGUACGGGCCUACCAAGGCGUCGACGGGUAGCCGGCCUGUGAGAGUGUACGGCCACAUUGGGACUGAGGUACGGGCCAGACUCCGACGGGAGGCAGCAGUGGGGAAUAGUGCACAAUGGGCGGAAGCCUGAUGCAGCGACGCCGCGGGGGGGAUGAAGGCCUUCGGGUUGUAAACUCCUUUCGACAGGGACGCGGUACCUGUAUAAGAAGCACCGGCUAACUACGUGCCAGCAGCCGCGGUAAUUC
rnacentral:rRNA from 1 species